UGAACGCUGGCGGCGUGCUUAACACAUGCAAGUCGAACGAUGAAGCCUUAGCUUGCUAAGGUGGAUUAGUGGCGCACGGGUGAGUAAUAUAUAGAUAAUGUGCCUCUUAGUCUGGGAUAGCCAUUGGAAACGAUGAUUAAUACUAGAUACUCCUUCUUAUUCUAAUAUAAGUUGGGAAAGUUUUUCGCUAAGAGAUCAGUCUAUAUCGCAUCAGUUAGUUGGUGGGGUAAUGGCCUACCAAGACAAUGACGCGUAGCGGGUUUGAGAGGAUGAUCCGCCACACUGGUACUGAGACACGGACCAGACUCCUACGGGAGGCAGCAGUGAGGAAUAUUGCACAAUGGGGGAAACCCUGAUGCAGCAACGCCGCGUGGAGGAUGACGCAUUUCGGUGUGUAAACUCCUUUUAUAUGUCAAGAAAAUGACGGUAGCAUAUGAAUAAGCACCGGCUAACUCC
rnacentral:rRNA from 1 species